ACGGCGACCGGCGCACGGGUGAGUAACACGUAUGCGACCUGCCCGUAGCAGGGGGAUAAGCGGAAGAAAUUCCGUCUAAUACCGCGUAAUAUCUUUCGGGGGCAUCCCUGAGGGAUUAAAGGAAGCGAUUCCGGCUACGGAUGGGCAUGCGGCGCAUUAGCUAGUCGGCGGGGUAACGGCCCACCGAGGCGGCGAUGCGUAGGGGUUCUGAGAGGAAGGUCCCCCACACUGGUACUGAGACACGGACCAGACUCCUACGGGAGGCAGCAG
rnacentral:rRNA from 1 species